GUCAUUGGGGCACCAUUGGGUCACCAUUGGGUCACCAUUGGGUUGUUGGGUCACCAUUGGUUCACUAUUGGGUCAUUGGGUCACUUUGAGGCACUAUUGGUUCACCAUCGGUUCACUAUUGAGUCACUGGGGCACCAUUGGGGCACCAUUGGGUUAUUGGGUCACUUUGGGGCACUAUUGGGUCACUAUUGGGUCAUUGGAGCACUUUGGGGCACUAUUGGGUUAUUGGGUCACUUUGGGGCACCAUUGGUUCACCAUUGGGUCAUUGGGUCACUAUUGGGUCACCAUUGUGUCUCUUUGGGUCACUAUCGGGUCACUAUUGGAUCUUUGGGUCACUAUUGGGUCUCUUUGGGUCACUAUUGGGUCACUAUUAGGUCACUGGGUCACCAUUGGGUCACCCUUGAGUCUCUUUGGGUCACUAUCGGGUCACUCUUGGGUCACCUUGGGUCACUAUUAGGUCACUUUUGGGUCUCCAUUGUGUCACUAUUGGGUCACUAUUGGGUCACUAUUGGGUCACUGGGUCACCAUUGGGUCACCAUUGUGUCUCUUUGGGUCACUAUUGG
rnacentral:lncRNA from 1 species